rnacentral:rRNA from 1 species
AUUGAACGCUGGCGGCAGGCCUAACACAUGCAAGUCGAGCGGAUGAAGCGAGCUUGCUCCUGGAUUCAGCGGCGGACGGGUGAGUAAUGCCUAGGAAUCUGCCUGGUAGUGGGGGAUAACGUACGGAAACGGGCGCUAAUACCGCAUACGUCCUGAGGGAGAAAGUGGGGGAUCUUCGGACCUCACGCUAUCAGAUGAGCCUAGGUCGGAUUAGCUAGUUGGUGGGGUAAAGGCCUACCAAGGCGACGAUCCGUAACUGGUCUGAGAGGAUGAUCAGUCACAUUGGAACUGAGACACGGUCGAGACUCCUGCAGUGGGCAGCAGUCGGGAAUAUUGGGCAAUGGGCGAAAGGCUAAUCCAGCGAUGCCGCGUGUGUGAAGAAGGUCUUCUGCUUGGUAAGCACUUUAAGUUGGGGGGAAGGGCAGUAAGUUAAUACCUGGCUGUAUUGACGUUACCAACAGAAUAAGCACCGGCUAACUUCGUG